rnacentral:rRNA from 1 species
GUAUGUUUUACACAUGCAAGUUGGACGAAAUUUUUCUGUUUCGUAGCGAACGGGUGAGUAAUAGCAAAAUUUUACCUUCUAAUUCAAUAUAAAAAUUCAUUUUUAAAAAUGAAUUACAUAAUAUUUGAUUGCGCGAGCGCCGUUGACAGGGCUGAAAUAAUUGCCUGUUAGAAAGAUAAAUUUGUAAAAGAUUAGGCUGUUGGUGAAUUAAAAGCUCACCAAACCAAUGAUCUUUAGUUGGUUUUAGAGAAUGAUCAACCACACUGGGACUGAAACAAGGCCCAGGCUGAUAUGUUGGCCAGCAGUGGAGAAUAUUGGACAAUGAACGAAAGUUUGAUCCAGCAAUACUACCUGGGUGACGACGGCUUAUAAAAGUUGUAAGAUCCUUUAGUAAAAAAAGAUAAUGACAUUAUUUUACUGAAUCUAUAGU